rnacentral:rRNA from 1 species
UCCUGAACGACGUUUGUUUUUGUCAAAUGUCAAUCGCAUUAUGAUAAGACUACGGUAAAGAGAAGCGGGCCUCAGGAAUGGAUCGUUGCGCCGAGGUUUAGAGAGGACGUCGACGGCGGCACGGCCUGGAGUCGCAGUGGCGGCUGCGGAGUUAGGGCGAGGCGGAGCGUGGGCUGCCGAGUCAGGGUGCGGGGGGAGGGGCUGCGGAAGAGGGGUGGAGGCUGUGGGGCCGGAGAGUGCUCGCAGCGACGGUAGCGGCAAGGGCAAGAAGGAGCUCCCCUGUAGCGCAGAGGUGGGGCAGGUGUCAAAGCGGGUAACUCAAAAGUCCACGUAUGGGCCGCGUGGUAGAUCUAGGCGGGGACAGGGGCAGACCAGCAUCGACACUUAUUUUUACCUCUCGUCAGUCUGGCUCUUGGAGUGUCUGUGAUUUGUUCUACUGCUACGCGCGGUUUCGUUUGUCCUUCUACUCCUCCGGGCGUAACUUCUUAUGUUUUCUGAUUACCUAGUUUUCUAACGGGAAGCGGCUUUGUUAGUUUUAGGACUCUCUGGUCUACGUUUGAUGGACUCCUGAGAACUGAGUUCAUAAUUUGCUUUAUGUUGUCAAUAUUUCUUCGAGUUUUGUUAUUUACUACUUGUUUUCCUACCUAAUUACCUACUCAACUUUUCACACUUGAACUCGUUUAAACAGUCACUUCGUCAAAGAAUAUAAACACUCCGAUUUGAAGCAAGACGACUAUAUGUUCGACGUCAAGUCCAAACGAGUAACGAAGUAGUUUCUAUGUUCCUGAAGAGAGGAACAGAAUAUGUUCCAAAUGACUUCCAGAAGAACGGACCAUUUAGACCUCUACUAAACCUAUGUCUGUUUUUGAGUUCUCGAUACUUCUUCUCUUCGUGGGACUUUGAUGACUAACUUGACAUGAAACAACCUUAUCAACUUCUACGAUCAUAGAAACAUUUGUAAUAUUUUCUAGAAUGUAGUGACCUCGUAAACUUCCUGGCCCUUCGUUGAGUCUGUUUAGACAGAGAAGAGAGAAGGAAACAAGCAGUUCCCUCCAAUAAAUAUCCCAAUGCCAGAGUACCAGUACUUAUAAUGCUACUCAAGAAAUUCCUGAAUUUACAAUGACGACUAGUCUUCUUUAAGAAGUUCUUUCGGAACUUGAGAAUGAUACUACGACACAGACUUGAUGAUGUUAGUCUUUUACGCAGAGAAGCAGACUACCUCCGUCUCUUACGUUUUCAAAACUCACGGUUUCCACUUAAUUCACUACUCUUGUGUCGAAGUAUACUCUUCGAGGCUUUCAGAAAACUAGUCAAUGAUGCACCACAUAGGAGCCAUCGACUUCGAUAACUGAACGUCGGAGGCCACUACGGUCUACUACCCUUAUGUUGUUCCCAAUGAUGCCCUUGACUACAGUGGGGGAGAAGCCCUUUUCUUGGUAGACACGACCUUGGAUAAACCCUACUACUGCUAUGGUUCUGAAAAAUACUUAGAAAUGGACUAGAUUCUCGUAAACAUGGACGACAGAAUAACCCUCUCCGACUUGUCUUCAACUUACUCGUUGUACGAUUCCCGGCACUUGUUAGAUCACUCAGCUUACGCCUUGUUCUCUGACUUCACGUACUAUUACGAGUCUGAAGAAGACGGUGACUUCUAGUUGAACUCCCUUUCCGUCUACUACAUCGCUUUCUAUCACUUCUUUUUCUUUUCCUAUUCCCUUUUCUCCGUCUUUUUAGCUUUCUCUUCCUAAACCUGUCCUUUUGACUUUUUCUAUUUCUCUUUCAUUCUCGGAACCUACCACCUUCAAACCUGUUGGACGAUGUCUCCAACGGUCCUACACACUCGGCACUAGAAUAUCUAGUUAACUGCCAACUCAAAACGAUGGACUUAAGAUUUCGUUCGGCCUUUUUUGAACACGCCCGGAAUAAGUCACAAGGUUCCUGAAGAGACCUCGAAAAUGGCAUAAUAAGAGCUUACUAACGGUGUAACAGUAGUACAUACUUUCUACAGGGAUGAUACGAAGAGGGGUACGAACUUCUCCUCAAGUUGAAGAAUUAUUUAUUUUUCCUAGUCUAGUUGUAACUUUGUUUUUAUUUCUUAUAUUCUAAAUAACCUCUUAACACGUUUAAGUUUUAACGUGGUCGCCGAGAACAAAAAUCAACAAACUUCCGCACGGAUCUACUAAAGUUAGUAGUAUUAUAACUGCACCGGACGUUGGAAGAGCUCUGUACGCCUGCAAAAAAUAUAGCAAGUGGACUUUGAUGUUAGGCGUACCGAUUGUACGACCUCUAUGACUACUCUAACUUUUUACAAUUCUUAGACCUAGGCGCGGUGUCAUGUGAACAUCUUUUACGGAUGAUGGAAACAUUUGGUGGACUUUCUAGACGCUCUCAAAGUUUUCAAGCGGGUGGAAACAUAGUUAUGUAUUCCUUCGACGAAAAGAGUCUAGAGCUGUUUAGUUCACAACUCGUACAAGAAGCGGUCAAUGCUUUCGAUGGAACCCAUCUCACGGUCGUUAUGGAACAUUUCACGAAAGAUUUCCAAGUGUUCCCUUUCAUGUCGGUUCAAGUGGACUAACGAGAAGAGUGACGACCCGAAUCGGCAAUAGUACUACUGAAACGACAACGUCACCAUCUACUCCAAAACCUUCUCUAUUCCCAACCCAACCUCAACUUACUGAUACGCUGCGUUGUUUCUGCUGAACGUGUGUACGCUAAAGAACCUCUCGACAUGUCGAUGUUCGUAUAACUGAGUAGUCAACAUAAACUCUGUAAUAUGGAAUAGUAAUACAAACCAGUACCCUGAAUACUUGUUCUACACAACCUAGGUGGUCUUCUAACGAAGUCCUAGUCCAACUAGUAUUGUGAAGACGUCUGAACACCGGUGAUAAAGUGAUCUCCGAGCAGGUUUUCUUUCGAACUGUUCAAGAACGAUGUAAAAGUUUCUAUGUAAUAAUACUUUCCCGGGAAUGGUGAACUGUAUCUCAAACUGUAAGUCCUAAACAAACGACUCGAUGCUGGUUUGUACUGGUCUAUAAGUAGUUAUCUACUUGAAUUGAGACGUAAUCGACUUGAGCUUCUUGUGCUCGCACGCCGGAGUCAUCUCUUUGGACUCUCACUUUCCGUGAGCCUGUUACUUAGAGUCUUUUCCGUCGGUGUACUACUACCGUCCCCAAGUCGCUUACCUCGACUCCCUUUACCAUUCCUAGUACCUCUUCCGCGUCUAUCACUCUCGAUAAGUCUAUCACCGUCGUAACCACCAGUACUUCUACUUCUUCUAGAAGACAGACUCCUCUUUAGUUUACUACGUAGCCUCUUGCUUCCACUACUACUCCUACUACCCUACGGACAACCAAGACUACUUCUACUCCCACAACUCCAAUCCGUUUUCCAGCACGUCCAACUAGGGUUCCUCGUUCUUCUGAAACUGGCUCUCGACUUUCGGGAAGAUGUCCUCUCAAACCUCAGUGCAUUUAGCCUCCACGCAAGGUCCAGGUCAAACUUGUACUUCCAUGGUUACUUACAGGAACUUCCAAGUUUCCUACGUUCCCGACACCUCAGUCUCUCACCUCUUCUUUGACACCUACUUCUCCCACCAUUACGACCACCACCGUCGUUCCACGCACAAUUCCACGAUUACUUCUUUCCCGUGUUCGUUGUCUGCUUCGUCUACAAGCAGGGACCGCUGACGAGAGAACAUGUCUCGUGUUUCGUCGUUCUUCGACGGCUCGAACUCCUCUUCGUCUUGUAAUUCGCCUCCUAGGAACUUAUGUUGCUCUCCCUCCUCCUUCUUUACUUACCGCCUAGCAGUGUUUACCCCUUGACCCCGGUUCCUCCCUCGUUAUGGUCGUCGUCAUAAUCUAGUCCACCCGCCCCGUUAACCCUACCAACCUAGUCCCCUCCGCGAGCCGCAGUGGUGCGGCGACCACCAAAGAUGGUUCCUAUACCGUCCUCUUCUACUUACGAUCAACAGGACUCCAAAAACUGUCCCGUUGCCACAGCUUGAGGAUUACCUCUUCUCCUACGGAACUUAAACAAACUGUCCUGUACUUGUUCUACUAUCUUUCCGAAAAGUGGAGACUUAUACUCACAACGCAGCUGAUAUCUCGGCUGGGGUCAACUGUUAUUUUGCUGUUAUGACGGCUGCUUCCUCUUCUUACAGACUUAUCCGAAAGAAGACAACUUCAACAAGUCAACCCGACCAAACACUUACACAUGUACUUCCAAAAGAAAUAGAACCUCCCUGUGGAACGAAGUCGACAUUUGAAUCUCGCACGUAUAGAUGGACUUACAUCUACACCACGACGAUAAACGUUUAGAAGGUACAUGGUCUUAACAACGAACCUACGAACAAUCACACAAACAUAUUUGUUAUCUACUCUUAUUUGUGGGACGGAAUUACACGUUGUAAACUGUAACAUAUCUCCGACGCAGUAAAUUAAGCCUACUAAACUGAAACAUAUCUCCGACGCAGCAAAUUAAACCUAGCCUCCCUCCCUCAUCAAUACAUUUGUCCUAUAUAUCAAGGGACGUCUGUCAUCACCACAUCGACGUUAUAUACACCGUGAAACUCACCGGGUUAUUUUUAGUCUUUGACCCUCGCUAG